UUGUCUUUUAAUUAAAGACUAGAACAAAAGAUUUAACAUUUAAAUUAAUAUAUUAAAAUUAAUUAAUUAAAUUUAUUUAAAAUGUAAAAAAACAUUUAUAAACUAGGAAGACGAUAAGACCCUAUUAAACUUAACUUUAGUUAAACUGGGGCAGUUAAUCAAUUAUCAUUUUAAUUUAAAUAUAAAAUAAAUAGAUCCUAUAUAAUAGAUCAAAUGAUCAAGUUACUAUAGGGAUAACAGCGUAAUAUUAAUUUAAAGAUCUCAUUAAAAUAAAAGAUUACGACCUCGAUGUUGAAUUAAUAACCUAUAUUAUUGCAAUAAAUAAUUAAAGGAAGUCUGUUCGACUUUAAAAAAAUUACA
rnacentral:rRNA from 1 species